rnacentral:rRNA from 1 species
CAGUCGCCACGGUAAUACGGAGGGGGCUAGCGUUGUUCGGAAUUACUGGGCGUAAAGGGCGCGUAGGCGGCCAUUCAAGUUAGAUGUGAAAGCCCUGGGCUCAGCCUAGGAAUUGCAUUUGAUACUGUUUGGCUUGAGUUCGGGAGAGGUGAGUGGAAUUCCCAGUGUAGAGGUGAAGUUCGUAGAUAUUGGGAAGAACACCAGUGGCGAAGGCGGCUCACUGGACCGACACUGACGCUGAGGCGCGAAAGCGUGGGGAGCAAACAGGAUUAGAUACCCCAGUAGUCCCUGUCUCUUAUAC